UCUUGUUUCUUUUUACUCUCUCUCUUGGUUUAUAGAGUUGAACAACUGGUUCAUUCAUUUUCAAACCUCUCUUUUUCAGAUAUGUAAAUUUAAAGUUAUACAGUUUUGCAAGUUGAUAAUUUUGGCCCUAUUCCGUGGUUUUGACAAUAUUUAUUCUUCAUGGUGAUGUUGACUAAUUGUCAGUGGCCAUUGGAUUGUAUUCUGAAAUUUUCUCUGUGGCUGACUGCAAAGUCAUAUGCGAUGGAUGCAAUGGGUAUACUGAAGUCUCUACA
rnacentral:lncRNA from 1 species